rnacentral:rRNA from 1 species
UACGUAGGGGGCGAGCGUUGUCCGGAUUUAUUGGGCGUAAAGAGCGUGUAGGCGGCCAGGUAGGUCUGCUGUGAAAACUCGAGGCUCAACCUCGAGACGUCGGCGGAAACCAUCUGGCUAGAGUCCGGAAGAGGAGAGUGGAAUUCCUGGUGUAGCGGUGAAAUGCGCAGAUAUCAGGAGGAACACCGGUGGCGAAGGCGGAUCUCUGGGCCAUUACUGACGCUGAGGAGCUGAAAGCGUGGGGAGCGAACAGG